rnacentral:rRNA from 1 species
UAUGUAGGGUGCAAGCGUUGUCCGGAAUUAUUGGGCGUAAAGAGCUUGUAGGCGGUUUGUCGCGUCUGCUGUGAAAACUCGGGGCUUAACUCCGGCCUGCAGUGGGUACGGGCAGACUAGAGUGCGGUAGGGGAGACUGGAAUUCCUGGUGUAGCGGUGAAAUGCGCAGAUAUCAGGAGGAACACCGGUGGCGAAGGCGGGUCUCUGGGCCGUAACUGACGCUGAGGAGCGAAAGCGUGGGGAGCGAACAGG